rnacentral:lncRNA from 1 species
AUUGAAAUCUACAUUUAUUAAACCAGAUUUUAAGUAGAUUUAUUUGAAUAUAUUUCCAGGCUGUGGACAAUGAGAUCUACCAGUGACUGAGGACACAAAUCAGAACACCGUGAUGUCUGUCUGCUUCUCUUGAGAAUGCCACUUUUGUUUCUCUCAAGGGAUAGUUCAUCACUUUGCCUAUCCCAGUUUUUCAUGUGGUUCCAAAUCCAUUUGUAUCGUCCAGGAGGAGGAAUCAGCGCAUGUAAGGUCUUUGCCUUCCUGCUUCUUCUGGAUGAUUCAGAAGGGCAUGGGGUUAAUCCCUUCCAUCUUCCAGUUUCGCCAAAAUUAUGGUGACAUAGAUGGACAACCAAUACUUGUGCAUGGUGUAGAGACAGAGUAUGGUGUAAGAAAUGCAAAAUAAAA